rnacentral:ncRNA from 1 species
UUGGUAGAGGUGCAUCAAUUAUCAGUAAACAAUCGGAUAUGUCAGGCAUAGUAGAGGAUUGUUGAAAGGAUGAGAUGCCGAAGCUUUAGAUACCCUGAAGUAUGUAAAGCUGGUCGUAUGAUGAAGAAUCAUGGGACUGUCAUCAACUUAUUGAUGGAGAGCUACCUAA